CAGCAGCCGCGGUAAUGCGAAGGGGGCUAGCGUUGUUCGGAAUUACUGGGCGUAAAGCGCACGUAGGCGGAUUUUUAAGUCAGGGGUGAAGUCCCGAGGCUCAACCUCGGAACUGCCUUUGAUACUGGAGAUCUUGAGUUCGGAAGAGGUUGGUGGAACAGCUAGUGUAGAGGUGAAAUUCGUAGAUAUUAGCUAGAACACCAGUGGCGAAGGCGGCCAACUGGUCCGAUACUGACGCUGAGGUGCGAAAGCGUGGGGAGCAAACAGGAUUAGAUACCCCAGUAGUCCCUGUCUCUUAUAC
rnacentral:rRNA from 1 species